GUCCACGCCGUAAACGAUGAAUACUAGGUGUGGGGGUUGUCAUGACCUCCGUGCCGCCGCUAACGCAUUAAGUAUUCCGCCUGGGGGAGUACGGUCGCAAGAUUAAAACUCAAAGGAAUUGACGGGGGCCCGCACAAGCAGCGGAGCAUGUGGUUUUAAUUCGAAGCAACGCGAAGAACCUUACCUAGACUUGACAUCUCCUGAAUUACCCGUAACUGGGGAAGUCUUCUCUUUGAGAAGACAGGAAGACAGGUGGUGCAUGGUUGUCGU
rnacentral:rRNA from 1 species